rnacentral:rRNA from 1 species
GCGGGUGCUAAUACUGCAGUCGAGCGGACAGAAGGGAGCUUGCUCCCGGAUGUUAGCGGCGGACGGGUGAGUAACACGUGGGUAACCUGCCUGUAAGACUGGGAUAACUCCGGGAAACCGGAGCUAAUACCGGAUAGUUCCUUGAACCGCAUGGUUCAAGGAUGAAAAACGGUUUCGGCUGUGACAUACAAAUGGACCCACGGCCCAUUCCCUACUUGGUGGG